rnacentral:rRNA from 1 species
AUUGAACGCUGGCGGCAUGCCUUACACAUGCAAGUCGAACGGUAAGGCCCUUCGGGGUACACGAGUGGCGAACGGGUGAGUAACACGUGGGUGAUCUGCCCUGCACUUCGGGAUAAGCCUGGGAAACUGGGUCUAAUACCGGAUAGGACUCCGGACUGCAUGGUCUGGGGUGGAAAGCCUUUGCGGUGUGGGAUGGGCCCGCGGCCUAUCAGCUUGUUGGUGGGGUGAUGGCCUACCAAGGCGACGACGGGUAGCCGGCCUGAGAGGGUGACCGGCCACACUGGGACUGAGAUACGGCCCAGACUCCUACGGGAGGCAGCAGUGGGGAAUAUUGCACAAUGGGCGCAAGCCUGAUGCAGCGACGCCGCGUGAGGGAUGACGGCCUUCGGGUUGUAAACCUCUUUCAGCAUCGACGAAGCGAAAGUGACGGUAGGUGCAGAAGAAGGACCGGCCAACUACGUGCCAGCCGCCGCAGUAA